GCACUUACAAGGUACAUAUACUAAAAUUGGAACGAUACAAAGCAGAUUCGCAUGGCCCCUGCACAAGGAUGGCACACAGAAACGCGAAGCGUUCCAGAUGCGC